GUGGCUGGAAAACAGAGCUAAAAUGAGACAUGACUGGUAAGGGGGGUUGGGGUUCUGUCUAAACUGAGCUAUCAAGUGUUGGGCUAAACGGGACAAUGCAGAGCAAAACACGACGUGAGUCUAGUUGAAAGUUUUAGGGGAACCUGAGUAAAAUUUGGUCAAGGAAAGAAUGUCAAUACCUACUUAUCUUUCAGGAUUCAACUUAAAUGUCAUUUUCUCAUUAGAGACCCUCUCAAAUCCCUCAGAUUCCGCAAUUUACCAUGUCUCCUACCCCACAUAAUAUUCUCUCUCAUAGUAUCCUGUAAUUUUCCUUCAUAUCAUUCAUAGUGUCAAUAUUAUCUCUAUUGUAUAUUUAUUUAAUGCUUGGCCUGUUACUUUAAGCUUAUCAGCAUCAUAUGUCUACCGUGUGUUUUGUUUACCAAGAUAUAUUCAAUAGCUAACCUAGGCCUGAUAUGCAAUAAGUCAGCUGCUUUGUGGUCAAGAAAAAGAUGGAUAAUUAAUUAAUUAAUUAAUACAUUUAUCUGAAAAUUAGGUAAUUCUGUUACAUCAGCUUGAUAGAUUGUAUUACAAAUGGCUUUGGCAGAAUCUAAAAUUCAUUUGUAACUAAUCAAGUAUGAUUUUGGGAGAAGCAGAAGUUUCUGAUGGUUUAAGCAGGCAUUGCUGUCUAUCAAAUGUCAUUCCCCAUUUAUUUUUAGUAACAAAAUCCCCUUCUUAUUAAUGCAGCCGUCCUUUCACCAUGCGUCUUAGGGAGAGGUGAUAUUUGUUCGGGUUUAAGGCUUGGCUGGUGUUAAGGUGUCCUUUUCCCUUUGCCAGUGAUGGGAUUGGGAAUUAGAAUAUGAUCCAGUUCUGGCUCGUGAGGCAUAUCGGGAAGUCUGCUGGUAUUUCUGGUCAUGUUUUCCUCCUGUUUUCUUUCUUGCCCUUUUUUUUUUUAAGGGGAAAUGCAGGAAACUAGUUCUCUUCAUGCCUCAGGUAAUUAUUGUGUCUUGACAUGAUCUCAGCAGUCAGUGUCCGUGAGAAGGAACUAGGUUAAGGGCAAAUCUGUCACCCUGAAGACAACAAAGUAGAAUAAAAAUAAUUGGGGUCCUUAGAGUCAUCAUCAUCCUACUGAAUUGUCAACUCUGAACACAACUCACUAAAUUUUUUUUGGUGUGUGUGUGUGUGAAAGCCAAUUUGAAAAUUCUUAUACCUUCACUCAAAAGUUUUGGAGUUUGUUUUUGGAACAAUAAUGCACAAUGUUCAGGAUUUUACUACUGAGUCUUCCUUCAAAUAAACAUUUUACCGACAUCAUUGUCAGUGUCACCAUGGUCAAUAAAGUGACUGUGCAUUGAUAGAGAGUGGAAGAGAGGAGUUUAGUUGGAUCCGAUUAAAAAAACAACAACCCAACAUGCAAUUAUCUACUGUUUUCCCAUUAAAAAUCUUCAUAAAUUACUUUAUGCCAAACAGCUUAAUAGCUACACCACAGCUGGAAUGGGAAAGCCAUCAUCUGACACUGUGGGAGUCAAAAUGUCUUAUGGGAUCAAAUUGAUGAACUUCUGUCCUUUCACAGUGAUUUAGCAAAACUGUUGAAACUUUAAUGAGAAUGCUGAUCAUAAUUAGCAUGCACAUUUGUCUGCCAUAGGAGGUCUGCUUCAUUUCCAUGGCAUAUGACAUUAAAAUACAUUGUUGCCAUGUGCUCAUCCCAGGCUUUGUUACUAGAUGUGUGAAACUCUCUGUGAUGUAACUGACUAUAUUGUAUGAAUCAUUAAAAACAGCCAAAGGCAAUUUUUAUAAAAUUACACAUAUAUAUGAUCUAGUUUGUGGACUUUACAUAUACACACUUAUUUUAUAUUUCUAAAAAAUUUAUGAAAUAAGUACUUGUAUUAUUUGCUAAGCAAUGAGCACACUGAGGCACAGAGAGAUGAGUAGAUGACUUAGGUCCUUAAUUCUACCUAUAAUUUUAAGCACUAUGUUGGCUUCUUAUUAGAAAACAUACAAGUGGCAACUAGAGAAUGAGUAUUUUAAGUGACUUCUCUUCUAUUACAUAUACCUAUGGUUUGUUUCGUAUUUGAAAGAAUAUUUUACUUUCAUGGAAGAAAAUACUUUAACAUUAUGAUGCACAAGACUCUCUUAAUAAAUUGAAUAAAUGUUCACUGUUUUAAAGGGUUAUCAUAUAGCUUAGACUUAAGAAAUUUCUAUACUUGGAAAGUAAUCUCAUGCUACAUAUGGGAACUUUUUUUUAAGUCACAGUCAUAGAUAAUGGUAAUGAACUGCUAUUUCUAAAAUUAUGGCCCGUCUACAAACAUGAUUUUUGGAUGAAAUUGUCAAUGCAGUUUAUUAUAUUUCCUUUGUAGAUAUAUCCCUACUUUAUUUAAAAUCUAUUUAAAGAAUUUGCUCUUAAAAAUUACCUUUUCAUAUAAUACUCCCAAAGUUCCAAAUUAAAAGCUUUCUUUUUUCCAAAAGGGAGUUUCCAUCCUAGCUUGAAAGCUUGUGCAUGAUAACAAGGAAACUGAGGGGAUGAUACAGUAAGUAAAGUCAUUAAUUAUGUAAGUGUAUGAGAAAUAAUUAGGUCAUAUGGGAAAAACUGAUCAGUUGCUAAAUACUAGAAUUAAAAGAUUAUCACUAUCACUUCACUGAUAUUUGGGGGAUGACAUAAAUCCAUGCAUUUUUUUCUUUUGCUUUUUAGGGGUACACUAAAAUGGCAUUUGGAAGUUCCCAGGCUGAGGGUUGAAUCGGAGCUACAGUGGCCAGCCUAAGCCACAGCCGGAGUGAUGCCAGGCUCCCAGCCGCACAUGUGACCUACACUACAGCUCACAGCAACACUGGAUCCUUAACCCAGUGAGUGAGGCCAGGGAUCGAACCUGCAUCCUCAUGGAUCCCAGCCGGGUUCCUUAGCUGCUGAGCCAUGAAGGGAACUCCUCAAUGCAUAAAUUAUUUUCAUUUACAUAUCUUCACAUUUAUCUUAAACCUGUGCAUAUCAAACAUUUAAGCAUCUAAAUAGUACCUAAAAGUUUACUGUCUUCAUCAUGCAUCCUUUAAUCAGACACGUAGGUAUAUAUUAUAGAUUACACAGUCUUGUGAAAAGCCAUUAAAUGUGGUUGACCCUUGAAGAGUGUACGGUUAGGAGCUCCAGCCGUCAUGAAGCUGAAAAUCCUUGUGUAACUUAUAGGUAACCGCUGGUACCCACAGUUCCUCAGUAUUCUCUAUUCUUCAUCUGCGGUUCUGCAUUGGCAGAUUCAACAAACCGCACAUCAAAUAAUAUUUGUGGUAUUUUCUAAUGAAAAAGAUCCAUGUAUAAGUGGACCCAUGAAGUUCAAGGUCAUGGUGUUCAAGGGUAAACAGUAGAAAUGUAUACACGUAUUUUAUAAAUCUUAGAAGCCCUUAGUAAUUGAGCCUAUUCUAAAUAGUAUCAUAUAUUUUUUACUGUUACACAUAUAGAUAUUCAUCAUUCACUGAAGAAGCAUUUAAGAACUUACUAUGAACUUAGAUGUGCUCCACGCCCUUAAGGAAUUAAGGAAUUAACACGUUGGUGGGAGAAGAUUGUUAGGUGGUUGCACAAGGUCGGAUUGUCAUAGGAGCCAUGCAGUUGAACUCUGACAAUGUGACUGUGUACCCAUUAGUAUUUUCAGCUUAUAAAUUAAAUUCUAAUAAGUAACUUGUUCACGAUCACGUAUGUCAAGGCAAUUUUAACAACUUUUUCCUCGGUCUUUCUAUCACUUAGACGGUCUCCUAACCCCACUUGCUAACUCCAUUUUCCACACUGCAGUCAGAAUGGUGUUGCUAAAAUUAUGUAUCUAUAUAGAUAUAGAUAGUCUCUCCCCUCCUGUUUAAAACACAAGUACUGCCAAUCGUUUUUCAGGAUUCUAUUCAAUGUCCUCAAUUUGUUUUAUAAAAGUGUGGUUUAUCCCUAUGCAAGUUCAGGGUAAGCUCUCUAGCUAAUACCAAUCAAUUUGACCCAAAUACUUGUUUGAGAAGUAGAGAUGUACCUGGGAAUUUUCCUUCUGUAACAUUGCAUUUGGAAGACUUUAAUUACUGGUUGAGAAGAGUAAGCACUAUUUUGCGUGUAAUAGAAAGUGUCUAGGAACCCAUUUCCUCUUUUCAGGGAUUUAUGCGUGUCCUUGGAGAUGGGAGGGCUGCUUAACAUGGUGGUAAAGGGCCUGGCUGAGAACAUUAAACACUCAGCAGCUGGUGGGUGAUCUGCUUUGAACUUGAAGCCAACUCUGAGGACAGUCCAGUAGCUUCUCAGAUUCAGGCAGGUCAAGAUUUGUCAGGGAGAGGGGAGUCCAGGUGGGAGCUGGCCUAGCUUAGCUGCCGGAUACCAGUGAUGGCCUCGCAGAGGUAAGACUGGGCCUCCAUAGCGGACUCUCCUUUUUCCUCUGCAAAGUCCUCAGCCUCCUCUCUCACAAUUCUGAGUCUAGGGCCCCUUUCCUUCACUGUUUCCACUCAGUAUUUUUCUCUUUCCAGCCCAGAGCGUGGGUAACGUGUGAAAAAAGAUUUCCUGUUGCAAAUAUUGUUUGUUUCCUUGUUUUUCCAAAUCAAUCAUCUGGGCAAAUAAGUGUGUUCUGUUCUUAAGUUACAGGUUUCAAGAAUUCCCUCCCAUUUCUCUCUCCUUUUCCUCUGCUGCUGCUUCGCCUCCCUCACCCCUCUCCUCUCCUCACACUUCCCUCUGCUUUCUCUUUCUACAAACGCACAUUCUGCUAGAAGUCACUCCAGGCACAGUGUGCUUAGGCAAAUAAGCGGUCAAGUAGUAACAGACUUACUCUCAACACUUAGGUUAAAGUGGUGUUAGUUUGACACACUGAUCCCUGUCGCGCUCACCUCCAGACUCCCUGUAACGUAUUCCUGAAAACAUAACCAAAGGGAAAACAGGCACCUAUAUAAGAAAAGAAAUCGAGCAACGGUUUUCCUGGAUUUGGAGCUUGAGCCCACUAUCACAGUAUUAAGAGGGUGGGACUUUGAGUAACCAUUUUUGCUCAUGUAUCGUUCAGCCUCACAAAUGUAUCAGUCUGACCACCCACUAAGUUCGUGGGAGACUCUAGCUGUUCUGAUCUCAUAGCUUUGGGAUACAAGGGCCUUGUCAAAGAACAUUGUAGGUAAUUUCCCCUCCCUCCACAUUCCCACAUAUUGGUUAUUGAUUCUUGAGAUGAAAACAAAGCUGUUCCCUUUCUGCCUCACCAGUAGGCACAUUUCUUUCUAUAAUUCAGAGGUUCCAAUAUGCUCCAUAGGUAAACAUUAUGGGUAGGAGUUACAUAGGUUUUAACAAGUAGAAGGCAGUUGUGUUGUAGCAGAGAUUGAAGCAGCCCAUGUAGGGCUGUGAAUUUCUUAGAAUGCAUCUGGCCAAAAAAAUGCUAAAACAGCUUUAGUUGUCCCAGAAUUGUGAUUUCCAAAAAUAUGGUUACUGUGGGGCCUUUUUGAAUCACCAAAAGAAUACUUCCAAUUAUUCAAAACAAGACAGAAGUCCAGAUUUUAUUUGCAAUUCUAUAAUUUAUCUGAGGCAUAAACAAAGCAUUUCCGUGAGCCAAGAUUAGCCGUGGGCCAUUAAUUGUUAUGUCAAUAAAAACAUACUGCUGCUUAUAUAUAAAUUAU
rnacentral:lncRNA from 1 species